GUCUACGGCCAUGCCACCCUGAACAAGCCCAAUUCUGUCUGAUCUCGGAAGCUAAGCCCGAUUCUGUCUGAUCUCGGGCGUGGUUAGUACUUGGAUGAGAGACCACCUAGGAAGACCAGGUGCUGUAGGUG
rnacentral:rRNA from 1 species